AAGACUUUUGAACCCCACCACUGAGUGGUAUCCCUUGGGGGAGUGGGCAACCUGUCCAGAGUCUUCUGUAGCCUGCAGGGGAGAAGAGUCCAAGAGCUCCACCGCUCCCUCCUGCCCCUGUAGGGCUCCUUCUUGCAAAACUCCCUCUACAACAACCCUGCGAGAAAUUCCAAGACCGAAUAUACAAAUCUGAUAAAAUACUUAAAAACAGGAAAGAAAAUUAGCUUGGCAACCACAAUAGGGGAAAGAAAGAAAAAAGAAGAAGAAAUAAGAUGGAAAAUAAACUUGUGGUUUGGAUCCUGUCGACUCCUUUCCUUCGCAGAGGAAAACGAAAAGAAAGCAACUGCUCACAGGAUGACUGAAUAUAAUGGGCAAUGUUCAAUCCGAAGCCACCCAGGAAUCAGAAUCGGUCAAAGACAGGGUGGAGAAAACGCACCCGGACACGACCAAAUCAGAACGGGAGUUAAACCGAAGCAAACAUGAUUUGGGCAGCCAGGCCCCUGGUCCUCUGGUCCCUGAACACA